rnacentral:rRNA from 1 species
UGGGGAAUCUUAGACAAUGGGGGAAACCCUGAUCUAGCCAUGCCGCGUGAGCGAUGAAGGCCUUAGGGUUGUAAAGCUCUUUCAGUGGGGAAGAUAAUGACGGUACCCACAGAAGAAGCCCCGGCUAACUCCGUGCCAGCAGCCGCGGUAAUACGGAGGGGGCUAGCGUUGUUCGGAAUUACUGGGCGUAAAGCGCACGUAGGCGGACUGGAAAGUCAGAGGUGAAAUCCCAGGGCUCAACCUUGGAACUGCCUUUGAAACUCCCAGUCUUGAGGUCGAGAGAGGUGAGUGGAAUUCCGAGUGUAGAGGUGAAAUUCGUAGAUAUUCGGAGGAACACCAGUGGCGAAGGCGGCUCACUGGCUCGAUACUGACGCUGAGGUGCGAAAGCGUGGGGAGCAAACA